CCCUUAGAUGUCCGGGGCCGCACGCGCGCUACACUGAAGGAAUCAGCGUGGCUUUCUCCCUGACCCGAAAGGGUUGGGAAACCCGUUGAAUCUUCUUCGUGAUAGGGAUUGGGGCUUGAAAUUGUUCCCCAUGAACGAGGAAUUCCCAGUAAGCGCGAGUCAUAAGCUCGCGUUGAUUACGUCCCUGCCCUUUGUACACACCGCCCGUCGCUACUACCGAUUGAACGGUUUAGUGAGGGCCUCGGAUUGGUCUCGGCCCGCUCUUUACCGGGCGGCGCCGUUGGUCGAGAAGACGCUCGAACUUGAUCGUUUAGAGGAAGUAAAAGUCGUAACA
rnacentral:rRNA from 1 species